GGUUUUUUGGUCUAGUGGUACGAUUCUCGCUUAGGGUCCACCCCACAGCAGCAGCGCAUGCGAGACGUCCCGGGUCCAAUCCCAGGCAAAACCC